CUCUGGCGCUGUCGAUAAUUGGGUUGCCCGAGCUAAUCUUACCAGCAAGUACAAUGAGACUGGGUGGGAUUUCCUUGAGGUGCAGACCAGCGGUGACUUCCCCGACACUGUUCAGGCCUACGCUGCUGGCCUGGCGGAAGCCAACGUCACCCGCCACAUGAUUGUCAUGCACUGGAAUAACACAGUGUCCGGGUACUGCCAGUGGCAGGGCCAGGAGAUGUGCGACAAGCUCAACGGGUUCAUCGAGGCCAAUGACAAGUGGGUCCAGUCGAUGGUGGAGCAGCACGGCGAGACAGAUCCCUACUGGCACCAGGUGGACCUGGUGAACCAUCAGCUGAAAGGC